rnacentral:rRNA from 1 species
GAUGAACGCUAGCGGCAGGCUUAAUACAUGCAAGUCGAACGGUAAGUUUGGUAGCAAUACCAAACCAAGAGUGACGUACGGGUGCGUAACACGUAUGCAACCUACCUUGUACAGGGGUAUAGCUCGGGGAAACUCGAAUUAACACCCCAUAAUAUAUUUGGUGUGGCAUCACACUAACAUUAAAACUCCGGUGGUACAAGAUGGGCAUGCGUCUGAUUAGUUAGUUGGCGGGGUAAUGGCCCACCAAGACGAUGAUCAGUAGGGGACCUGAGAGGGUGAUCCCCCACACUGG